UGUUGCGCCCCAACCAGGGCACCCAGAAACUGAGGCGGGGAUGGAGCCCGGGGUCAGGCUUGGGUGAGGCGUGGGACUUCAGGAAGACGCUCGGGAGAAGCCUCGUGCACAUGGUGACACCUGAGCCACCACCGAAGAAGGAAUUAACAACAAAACCAAACCCAUCCUUGACCUCCGAGCGUGUGGGAAGCCCCGCCCUUGACAACGCUGGCUGGGAUCCAGGUCAGGAGCUACAGGGACCUGAGACCAGUCCACCUGGCCGUGCCAGGGGUUACUGCCUAUCACAUUAGUGAGAGAAGCGUGUGGAAGUGAGCGCUCCAAGAGAUGAGAUCAUCCACCCAAAAGCAGUAAGACCUUGGAAAGGAGACAGAAAAGGUCAUUCUACUCGAAGCCCAAAUGGGGCUCACUUCCUGGCUGUCCCAUCACGAAGACACGCGGGAGAUAAGGAAGAACCAAACGAGGGCGCAGGAGCCAUUUCCAUGUCAAAUAUUGAUGAGACGCAAGAGCACCACUUGAGACGGCGAGAAAACCUAACCGGAAAUGAUGCUGCGCCCGGGAGCCCAGACUUAGACUCAGACGCCUGGCUCUGGGCUAACGUCUUACUUAC